rnacentral:rRNA from 1 species
GUGUUAGCAGCCGCGGUAAUACGUAGGGUGCGAGCGUUAAUCGGAAUUACUGGGCGUAAAGCGUGCGCAGGCGGUUUUGUAAGACAGAUGUGAAAUCCCCGGGCUUAACCUGGGAACUGCGUUUGUGACUGCAAGGCUAGAGUACGGCAGAGGGGGGUGGAAUUCCACGUGUAGCAGUGAAAUGCGUAGAUAUGUGGAGGAACACCGAUGGCGAAGGCAGCCCCCUGGGCCUGUACUGACGCUCAUGCACGAAAGCGUGGGGAGCAAACAGGAUUAGAUACCCUGGUAGUCC